AUUGAACGCUGGCGGCAUGCUUUACACAUGCAAGUCGAACGGUAACAGGGUGCUUGCACCGCUGACGAGUGGCGAACGGGUGAGUAAUGCGUCGGAACGUGCCGAGUAGUGGGGGAUAACGCAGCGAAAGUUGUGCUAAUACCGCAUACGUACUGAGGUAGAAAGUGGGGGACCUUCGGGCCUCACGCUAUUCGAGCGGCCGACGUCUGAUUAGCUAGUAGGGGAGGUAAAGGCUCACCUAGGCGACGAUCAGUAGCGGGUCUGAGAGGAUGAUCCGCCACACUGGGACUGAGACACGGCCCGGACUCCUACGGGAGGCAGCAGGGGGGAAUUUUGGACAAUGGGCGAAAGCCUGACCCAGCCAUGCCGCGUGUCUGAAGAAGGCCUUCGGGUUGUAAAGGACUUUUGUCAGGGAGGAAAUCCCUAGUGCUAAUAACACUGGGGGAUGACAGUACCUGAAGAAUAAGCACCGGCUAACUACGUGCCAGCCGCCGCAGUAA
rnacentral:rRNA from 1 species